AUUGAACGCUGGCGGCAGGCCUAACACAUGCAAGUCGAGCGGUAACAGUGAUAGCUUGCUAUCUCUGACGAGCGGCGGACGGGUGCGUAACACGUAGGAAUCUGCCUGGUAGUGGGGGAUAGCCCGGAGAAAUCCGGAUUAAUACCGCAUACGCCCCAAGGGGGAAAGGAGGGGACUCUUCGGAGCCUUUCGCUAUCAGAUGAGCCUGCGUCGGAUUGGCUUGUUGGUGGGGUAAAGGCCUACCAAGGCGACGAUCCGUAGCUGGUCUGAGAGGAUGAUCAGCCACACUGGGACUGAGACACGGCCCAG
rnacentral:rRNA from 1 species